AGCAGUCGCGCGGGAAUACAGAGGGUGCGAGCGUUAAUCGGAUUUACUGGGCGUAAAGCGUGCGUAGGCGGCUUUUUAAGUCGGAUGUGAAAUCCCUGAGCUUAACUUAGGAAUUGCAUUCGAUACUGGGAAGCUAGAGUAUGGGAGAGGAUGGUAGAAUUCCAGGUGUAGCGGUGAAAUGCGUAGAGAUCUGGAGGAAUACCGAUGGCGAAGGCAGCCAUCUGGCCUAAUACUGACGCUGAGGUACGAAAGCAUGGGGAGCAAACAGGAUUAGAUACCCGCGUAGUCCCUGUCUCUUAUACA
rnacentral:rRNA from 1 species